rnacentral:rRNA from 1 species
UGACCUCGGAUCAGGUAGGAAUACCCGCUGAACUUAAGCAUAUCAAUAAGCGGAGGAAAAGAAACCAACAGGGAUUGCCCUAGUAACGGCGAGUGAAGCGGCAACAGCUCAAAUUUGAAAUCUGGCUACUUUGUAGUCCGAGUUGUAAUUUGUAGAGGAUGCUUUUGGUGAAGUGCUUUCUGAGUUCCCUGGAACGGGACGCCAGAGAGGGUGAGAGCCCCGUACAGUUAGCAACUGAUCCUUUGUAUAGCUCCUUCGACGAGUCGAGUAGUUUGGGAAUGCUGCUCUAAAUGGGAGGUAUAUCUCUUCUAAAGCUAAAUAUAGGCUAGAGACCGAUAGCGCACAAGUAGAGUGAUCGAAAGAUGAAAAGCACUUUGAAAAGAGAGUUAAACAGCACGUGAAAUUGUUGAAAGGGAAGCGCCUAUGACCAGACUUGUCUCUAUCAGUUUUGGUAGUUUUCGGACUGCUUUACUCUGUUAGUACAGGCCAACAUCAGUUUGUUGUCGGGGAGAAAGGCUUAG